CGUGCCUUUGACGCGGGUGGUGAGAUGAGUGACGCCGUCAGGGAUGAACUUGGCGAAGCCGAAGUCGGCAACCUGAGCUUGGAAGUUCGAGUCGAUGAGUAUGUUGCUGGCUUUCACAUCUCGGUGUAUGAUAUGUGGAUUGGCAGUGUGAUGCAAGUACCUGAGAGAGCCACACAGGAGAGAAGAAAAGAAGGUAUGCACGAAGCUGUAAGAGGUUUGAAAGAAACUUACGCUAAUCCUUCUGCAGAACCGAUGGCGAUUUCCACUCGCUUCCUCCAGUCGAGGAGCUUGUCCGACGAGAAGUGACCGUGGAGGUGCGACAGAAGGCUCAGGUUUGGCAUAUAGUCGUAGACGAUCAAUCUCUCCUCGCCCUCAGCGCAGUAGCCACGCAGCUUUAGCAGGUUUUUGUGAUGCAGCCGUCCCAACGUCUCAACUUCCACUGCGAAUGACAUCUCGUUGGUGGUGUUCAUCACUUUGAGCCUCUUGACGGCGAUCUGGAAACAUGAGGUAGGGAGAGAGACUCAAGGCUCUUCUUUUGCUGCUAAUCAAAGUUUUAUUUUUUCACCUCAGAUUUGUCGCCAAGCUGGCCGUAGAAGACGCUCCCAAAGCCCCCCUCGCCGAGCUUAUUCUCAUAGCUGAAGUUGUUCGUGGCGAAUUGCAGCUCCUUCAAGCUAAAAAUCUUCCACGUCCUGGCGCUCUCGUCGUCGUCCCUGGACAAAAGCCCCUCACGGGUAUGAAUUCUGCUGGCCGGCACAGAAUCAAUCAAUCCCUUUACUCACUUCAUACUCCUUCCAGCGUAGCAGCAUCCGGAGCUCAGCCUUUUGGUUACCCAAGACAUAUUCAUUCGCAACUUCAUCACUCGCUUGCAACGACUGAUGCUGAUGAUCAUAUCCAUCGUCUCCUCGCCGUCAUCACCAUCGCAACAGAAGAUGAGAGCCAAGUCAAUACAGCGCUUUGUGCAUAGUGC
rnacentral:lncRNA from 1 species